UGGCCCAGGCUCCAUCCAGGGAGGAGGAGGGCGUGUCGCUGAUGUUUUCUGUCAGUUGGCGAAUUGACACAGAUGUGGAGCAAACCAUGCAGAAAUUCCAUUUGUUUCUUCAGUGUUACCUCCGAGCAGGGAUAACGUCCUUCCCCACCUGGACUCUCUUGGCUGCACCACGGAAGCCAAGUGCCCCAGGCCAGAGUGACUGCAUGCUUGGGGAUGGUGACACCCAGGCCAGUGUGACUGCAUGCUUGGAGAUGGUGACAAAGAUAAGGGCGUCUGCAGUGGAGAUGGCUCCAGGCUAUCUGGGAUCCAGAGUCCUUGCUGGUGAUGUGAGAUCCCCUGAAAGGAUGCUCUGGGCAAGUGUCCCCCCAGGGCUUCUGGCUGUUCAAGUGGCCCCAGGGCCUUGAAACACACACUCCAGGAAGUGAAGAGACCCCUGGGGACUUCUGGAGCAGUCUCUGGGGAAGCUGAGCAUUAUCGAGUUCCCAGAGCAACUCGGUGCGGAGUUUCCAGAAAUCUCACAUCCAGCAGCUUUUCUGAAAGUUAUUGCAACUAGGCCAUUUCCAAGUUCUAGGCUUCUCUAGUUCCAGAGCUUUUGGUUUCUCAAACUUGGUCCAGAAGCCCAGGCAGCAAUGG